CAAGAUUCUGCUCUAUUCUUGAUAAGUUUCAGAACUUGUUGUGAUUUGAUAUGAGGUUAGUUGCCAAUUUUCUUUUGUGCUCAGUACCGAAAUGUGCUCGAGUUUGUAUUUACUACGUUACCCAUAAUGUGAGAAAAUUUUCAUGGGAAAUUUAAGAAUAGUUGUGCCACUGCUAAAUAUUUGUAGCAGUAGCAAGCUGAGCCAGAGGGCAAGCUUGCUUCUUCACUUGAGGUCCUCGUAUGUUUUUGUUAGAAUUGCAUGUCUGAAAUUCACAUUUUUUGUAUUUUUGUGGUAAAACUUGCAAGCAACUUCUGGCAUGCGCCAUCUAAUGAAUAUUGCCUUCUAUAGUUCAGUGAGGUGAAGUACAAUACCAAAGUUGGUUGCUUCUUAUACUGAUUGCAUCAAUAGAAGUGCAGCAGCCCACAACUAAAUGAUGGAUUUAUUCAUACUGAUGCUAAGUAGGCAAAGUAUGCGAUUUCCAGUCAAAUACUUUGCUCAUGUACUAAUAUGAUUUUAAGUACCAGUAUGGAUGAAAAUAGGCUCGCACUUUUUAGGUUUUGUAUAUAUAUAAUUUUAAUAGAUUCGCAUCCUACAUGUGGUACUUAUUCAGUUUGUCCUAUCUUAUUCUUCAAAGUGAAUUUGCUGUUUGAACAUCCCCUUGGAUGUUUCUCGAUACUUCCGUGCCUCUGUGAUUUUAGAUACUCCCUCCAAUCCCUGCGCAGCUGCCAGACAACAUACCUUGUUGCCGACGCCCAACAAGGUAUCUUCCAAAAUCUCAAUCUGUGUGUGCUUGCUUGCUGCUGCGCCUGCUUCCUUUGCAGCGAGGCUUCUUGCUUGAUGGUUUGCUCUGAUGGUGUUGAUUUUGUCCUGCCGGGUUGAUGAUUGAUGGCGCGGGAGCAGGAGAAGAUGAUGAGGGUGAUGCGCCGCCCUCAUGUCGAUGGUCAGCCAUACGACUGAUCCUAGGAUUUCCUCUCUCGGUGAACUUUCAAGGCCCUUACUUCAUGCACGGUCACAAUAGGAAAUCAGAGUUAUCAUUGGUGCAGCUUGUGAUGGACCAGCUUUGAGGAAUUGGUAUGCCUGAACUAUGGAUUGCCUCAAUGGAACACUGAACUAUGGAUUAUUCAUGUUGCGGUUAGUAGGCUUAGUAGGCCUAUGAAUGUAUUACGCUGCAAUUAGGACUGUUCUGGAUGCACUAAUUUAGCAAAUUAUUUUACCUAAAAAAUUAAAUGGAUAGUGGAUUAAUGCAGGAACUAUUGCAUGGAUGUGAUCUAAAACUAGAAAUCCAUGUACUCACUUAUUUUCCAUUUUUUGACAUUGCACUAAUUUGGUAUCAUGAAUAUGAAGUGGACACAACAAGUGGAAGAUUUACAAUUCACAGGGGGCAGGUAAACCAUGGGCGGAAUCUUUAUCUGUGCACUUAUCAGCCAAAGGGCUACUGUCAUUUUGCCUUAAUUGAAGACCUACACGUCAUGUUGUCUGUCCUCCGGAAACCAUAAUGCUUAAUUAGAUCCGAAGUUGACUUCAUAUAUUUUUAGUUAGUGAUAUUUGUACUGCUUUCCCGGUCCAGAUAGAUGAAGAGAAAUUUGUACUUUCUGUCUAAAGAUUCAAACAUGGGGAACACAGUUAAUAUCUCAUGCAUUAUGCCUAAUCAUAUGUAGGCCAAGAUAUAGCAGAGGUGUCAGAAAGUUCAGGUGAGAUCCAAAUACUCCAUAACCUAUGAUUUCCUAGCUAUUGGUGCAUUAUUCAUGAUUAUUGAAUUAACAUAGCACACCUUUCUUAAAUUAAAUGGUAAGAAAAGUCACAGGACUACGAUGUAAUUAGGCAGCAAAACUGAAAUCUGCUACCUGAUGCUCUGCUUGGGUAUAGGAUUCAGUUUUUCAUUGCGGAAAUCUUCCAAGUUGACACUUAUGAGUUGUGGUCUGUAGACUUUCUGCUUAAUGUAUCUUCACCAUAAUAUCUAUACAAUUAGCAUGCUACAUUUUAUAUUAACUUUGUGACCAAUGCUGCCAAUCUUUGCCGGCCAUUCUUAUACUUGGUGAUGUGCUUAGCUUAGCUAAUUAGAUACUUAUCAGAUAUUAUUUCAAGAAUGACUAUGAAACUUUUAGCAUAUACUUCUAUUUUUUUGUUACAGGUAUAAUAUAUGUCCAAGAGAUAAGUUGGUGCUGGGAGUCACUGUUGCAGUAUAUGGAAAAAAAUGAUCUUACUUUACUCCAUGAUCAUCUGAAUAUGUACAACAUAUAUAAUCGUCAUCAGUUGCAGUUGUUUAGAGUAUUCAUGAGCACCAGGGAGCAGAAGGAGUUGGGGAGGAAGGAGGAGUCCACAGCCAUCCAUCAGCGGUGGCAGUGCAGGGUCGAGUUGGAGGCAAACACAUCAAGAAGCAUGUAAUAAGGUGACAGUCGCUGGGCCAUUACCACAAGAACUUGAGUUUGAGACCCUAAAGCAAACUAGGUUUAAGCCAUGGCAUUACAUCAUUCUAUUGGAGAAGUCCUGGUCUACUUCCUUCGACCAAGCAGUGUAUAGGUGUAAAAGACUAUUGAUAGGAGGACAAUAGGAGAACAAGAGAUGCGCAUUACCUCCCCGGCCUCUUCUUCGGCAAGGAUCCGCAGGUAGCGGCUUUUGAAGAGAACAACAGUCUUUGGACUGAGCUAACAUACGCAUGAGUCAAAGGAUUCAGUUCAUGCCUCUUAGUGUUGUUGUUUCAUUUAUGCUAGCUUCAUUAACAUGCAGCUAGAACAACAACAGAGACACAAGCAUGAUGAAGACACUCGAGAGACCUGCAAUAACUCUCUUAUGUCUCCUCCGGCGCCCCAAACAUGCAGCUAGAACAACAACGGAGACACAAGCAUGAUGAAGACACUCGAGAGACCUGCAAUAAGUGUGCGAACCUUGGUGGAGACGAGAUAAUGGUAGUAUGAUUCAGAUUUGAGGAAACACCGUGUGACUUGCUUCUCUUCAGUAGAUGUUUACGCAUGAUAUUCUUUGUGAAAACUUGAUUUUUUUUAUGCUGUGUAUGAUUAGUGAAAGGUAAUUCUCAUAG